AUUGAACGCUGGCGGCAGGCUUAACACAUGCAAGUCGAACGAGUGGCGGACGGGUGAGUAAUGCUUGGGAAUCUAGCUUAUGGAGGGGGAUAACUACGGGAAACUGUAGCUAAUACCGCAUACCAUCAGAUGUGCCCAGAUGGGAUUAGCUAGUAGGUGGGGUAAUGGCUCACCUAGGCGACGAUCCCUAGCUGGUCUGAGAGGAUGACCAGCCAAACUGGAACUGAGACACGGUCAAGACUCCUACGGGAGGCAGCAGUGGGGAAUAUUGCACAAUGGGCGCAAGCCUGAUGCAGCCAUGCCGCGUGUAUGAAGAAGGCCUUCGGGUUGUAAAGUACUUUCAGUCGGGAGGCGUUACCGACAGAAGAAGCACCGGCUAACUCCGUGCCAGCAGCCGCGGUAAUAC
rnacentral:rRNA from 1 species